ensembl:lncRNA
UCGCCGCACAUUUCGGAGGGAUGGAAAACGCCUGAGGAGCGCUGUGACCCCCGUAUAUUUCCCACAGUUUUCCUGGACGACACGUGCAGAGUGGCUUUUCACAGGAAGCUUUAAACAGCUGCUUUGUCUCCAUGUUGGACUGCAUGAAACUCUUAAGGUUUAACUUAUUGUGGUGACACCGAUUCCACCCACUAGAUGGCCCUAAAAGAUCACUCUGACUGCACCCUGCACCUCAUCCUCCCUAAUGUGAAGCCACACUGAGUUACAUGUACAGGGUGAUGCAGAUGACAACAAUUUUGCCCUGUUAAGGUUUUUACAACACAAAGUUUAUUUCACAUCUGUAAUUCUAUGGUGUCAGUGAGUGAUAGCAGAGGUGUUGCA